CUAUUAAUUAUAUUUCUAUAGUAUAACUACAAUAAUUAAUACUAUUUUUAAAAUGUAUUUUAUUAUUAUUAUUUUUUUUAUCUUUGGUCAGUACAAGGUGUCCAUAAGAAGUCUGUUGCAGUGACUUUCAAAAUCUUAACAGUCAUACAAUUUACAGUCACCAUCUACGACCUUGAGUGCAAGUCCACAGACCAACAACAGACGAACUGCUGGAAGUCUCCUGAAGUCUGGUAAACUACAGCACAGCUGGAACCACUGGGCCUGGCCUACCAAAACUACUGUUACAAGCAUUCACAGCUUUAUUAUGAAUAUAAGCCUCAAAUAAAAGUUGAACUAGGGCUUUAAUUUAAAAACAAGAGACAAAAAAAACAAGAAACUGAACGAUUAUUAAAUGUUCCGAUCAAGACCAGACUGCAUUUUUAUCUGAAGUCAUGUGAAGGAAAGCUGUG
rnacentral:lncRNA from 1 species